rnacentral:rRNA from 1 species
UACGGAGGGUGCAAGCGUUAAUCGGAAUUACUGGGCGUAAAGCGUGCGCAGGCGGCUUGUUAAGUCUGUUGUGAAAUCCCCGAGCUCAACUUGGGAAUUGCAAUGGAUACUGGCAGGCUGGAGUAUGGUAGAGGAAGGUGGAAUUCCCGGUGUAGCAGUGAAAUGCGUAGAGAUCGGGAGGAACACCAGUGGCGAAGGCGGCCUUCUGGACCAAUACUGACGCUCAUGCACGAAAGCGUGGGGAGCAAACAGG